AUUGAACGCUGGCGGCAUGCCUUACACAUGCAAGUCGAACGGUAACAGGUCUUCGGAUGCUGACGAGUGGCGAACGGGUGAGUAAUACAUCGGAACGUGCCUAGUAGUGGGGGAUAACUACUCGAAAGAGUGGCUAAUACCGCAUGAGAUCUACGGAUGAAAGCAGGGGAUCGCAAGACCUUGCGCUACUAGAGCGGCCGAUGGCAGAUUAGGUAGUUGGUGGGAUAAAAGCUUACCAAGCCGACGAUCUGUAGCUGGUCUGAGAGGACGAUCAGCCACACUGGGACUGAGACACGGCCCAGACUCCUACGGGAGGCAGCAGUGGGGAAUUUUGGACAAUGGGCGCAAGCCUGAUCCAGCAAUGCCGCGUGCAGGAUGAAGGCCUUCGGGUUGUAAACUGCUUUUGUACGGAACGAAAAGCCCUGGGUUAAUACCCUGGGGUCAUGACGGUACCGUAAGAAUAAGCACCGGCUAACUACGUGCCAGCAGCCGCAGUAAAAC
rnacentral:rRNA from 1 species